rnacentral:rRNA from 1 species
GACGCACGCUGGCGGAGUGCCUAAUCCCUGCAAGUCGAACGCAGUGGGGACGGGUGAGUAACACGUCGGUAACCUCCCAUCAGAGGGGAUAACACUUGGAGACAGGUGCUAAACCGCUGUUGAUGGAUGGCCCCGCGGUGCAUUAGCUCGUUGGGGAGGGAACGGCUCACCAAGUCCACGAUGCAUCGACGACAUGAGAGGGUGAUCGGCCACACGGGGACUGAGACACGGCCCAGACUCCGACGGGCGGCAGCAGUAGGGAAUCAUCGGCAAUGGACGAAAGGCUGACCGGGAAACGCCGCUUGAGUGAAGGAGGUUUUCGGAUCGUAAAACGCUGUUGUUAGAGAAGCGGUAUCUAACCAGAAAUCCACGGCUAACUACGUGCCAGCCGCGGCGGUAAUAC